AUGCUGUGCCUGAUGCCCCCCAGGACAGGGUUGGCUCUCCUGGGUGCCAGGGCACUGCUGGCUCAUGUUCAACUUGCCAUCGACCAGGACUCAUCCCCUGCGUUGCCUGACAAAUUUGUCUUUGUUAAACUUCAUGAGAUAUUCCUAAAGCUUUCUCUAGCCUGGGAAAAUAAGUUAAUCAUGAAACAAGAUGCAAGAACCAUUUUCCAGCUGAGUGGGAUUUUCACAUGCAGAUGUUGCUGAUGUGAACAUUGGUGUAGGCCUACAGGCAGCGUGAGAGUGCUCCAGAUGUCUUGGCUCUGAGAGAUGUUUUGGCAGCCACUGAACAAGGGUUGGAGAUUGAGUCUUGUUCCUGCAAAGCUGCAGCGACAAAGCACACAUGUGAGUUUCCCUGGCACUGGAGUUUCACUGCUUCCUUCUGCCCUGGGACCAGCAGAACUUAAUGCUACAAGGCCAUAAUCAUAUGGCCCUGCAGACACUGACUGUGCUACCCAAACCACAACUCCAACACUGACACUACAACCUCGGCCCUGUCUCUGAUCCCACAUGGGAUCAGGAUAUGCUCACAGGCCAAUGAGAUUUUUGGCCACCUAGACAAGAGCACAAAUCAUUAUACAACAUCUUGAGUGCUGUCUGGAUGGGUUCAGCUGAGAAAGAGUUGCUGCUGCUGGUGAAAGCCCCAGGGGAUGAUGUGCAGCCUCCCUGUGCUCCAGUGUGUGGUACCUGAGCACCCCGCUGCCAAACAGGCAGAAAAAAGGGCCAAGUACUCACUAGGGAGAAGAGGAAACAUUUCACUCACUUAAUUUCAUAGCUGUCAAAACCAGUCUUAAACUGGGGCUAGAAAACAAGUGAGAAGAAAAGCACUGCUUACAUAAUCCUUUGGCAGUGAAAUGAAUCAGGGUUCUUGCGGGAGAAGAGGAAUGCAGUUUUUAAGGAAUAAACAGCAUUGCUGUAGUUGGUAGAAACUGGAU
rnacentral:lncRNA from 1 species